rfam:Burkholderiales bacterium RIFCSPHIGHO2_01_FTLL_63_240 rifcsphigho2_01_scaffold_79, whole genome shotgun sequence.
UGGGGAUAAGAGCGGCCUCCCCGUCCAUCAAGACGCUUGGCGUCCAAGUGCAGC